UACUACAACCAUGCCACCCUGAACACGCCCGAUCUCUUCUGAUCGCAGAAGCUAAGCAGGGUCGGGCCUGGUUAGUACUUGGAUAGGAAACCACCUAGAAAGACUGGGUGCUAUAGGUG
rnacentral:rRNA from 1 species